rnacentral:rRNA from 1 species
UGAGUACGAGAUGCUACGGCGUCGAAGCAGUCUAGGUCAUACUUCCAAGAAAAGCUUGCACUGUCAUAAACAAAGAAUGCCUGUACCAUAACCGACACAGGUGGGUAGGUAGAGUAUACUAAGGGGCGCGAGAUAACUCUCUCUAAGGAACUCGGCAAAAUGACUCCGUAACUUCGGGAGAAGGAGUGCCUUAUUUUUAAGGUUGCAAUAACAAGAUCCAAGCAACUGUUUACCAAAAACACAGGUCUCCGCUAAGUCGUAAGACGAUGUAUGGGGGCUGACGCCUGCCCAGUGCCAGAAGGUUAAAGAAGUUGGUUAGCAUUUGCGAAGCUGAUAACUGAAGCCCUGGUGAACGGCGGCCGUAACUAUAACGGUCCUAAGGUAGCGAAAUUCCUUGUCGGGUAAGUUCCGACCCGCACGAAAGGCGUAAUGAUUUGGAUACUGUCUCGGAGAGGGGCUCGGUGAAAUAGACUUGUCUGUGAAGAUGCGGACUACCUGCACCUGGACAGAAAGACCCUAUGAAGCUUUACUGUAACUUGAGAUUGAAAUUGGACUUUAUUUGCGCAGUAUAGGUGGGAGGCGUUGAGAAUAAUCUUGCGGGAUUAUCGGAGCCAUCAGUGAGAUACCACUCUUGUAAUGUUAGAUUUCUAACUUUGUAUCAUUAUCUGGUCAAAGAACAGUUUCAGGCGGGCAGUUUGACUGGGGCGGUCGCCUCCCAAAGGGUAACGGAGGCGCACAAAGGUUUCCUCUGAACGGGUAGAAAUCGUAUCUAGAGUGUAAAGGCAUAAGGAAGCUUGACUGUGAGACCUACAAGUCGAGCAGGGACGAAAGUCGGUCUUAGUGAUCUGACGGUGCUGAGUGGAAAGGCCGUCACUCAACGGAUAAAAGUUACUCUAAGGAUAACAGGCUGAUCUCCCCCAAGAGUUCACAUCGACGGGGAGGUUUGGCACCUCGAUGUCGGCUCAUCGCAUCCUGGGGCGGUAGUACGUCCCAAGGGUUGGGCUGUUCGCCCAUGAAAGCGGUACGCGAGCUGGGUUCAGAACGUCGUGAGACAGUUCGGUCCAUAUCCGGUGUAGGCGUUAGAAUAUUGAAAGGAGCCUUCUCUAGUACGAGAGGACCGAGAAGGACAUACCUCUGGUGUGCCAGUUAUCGUGCCAACGGUAAACGCUGAGUACUAUGUAUGGAGUGGAUAACCGCUGAAAGCAUCUAAGUGGGAAGCCCACCUUAAGAUAAGUAUUCUC